UGACCCCUGCAGUGUUCGUGAGAAUGCGUACUGUUGAAAGAACCGAUACCCGUUCUGAGGGAAAUCAGGUCUUGCCGGGCCGGACAUGCCUACUCGAUAGGACAUCCGGACGCGAGCAACGAUUGCCCACCUUGCAGUAAUGGGUUCUCUUCAAAAUCCAUUCUCACGGCACAGGUGGAGGUGAG
rnacentral:other from 1 species